rnacentral:rRNA from 1 species
UACGAAGGGGGCUAGCGUUGCUCGGAAUCACUGGGCGUAAAGGGCGCGUAGGCGGCCUUGUAAGUUGGGGGUGAAAGCCCGGGGCUCAACCCCGGAACUGCCUUUAAGACUGCAUCGCUUGAAUCCAGGAGAGGUGAGUGGAAUUCCGAGUGUAGAGGUGAAAUUCGUAGAUAUUCGGAAGAACACCAGUGGCGAAGGCGGCUCACUGGAGCUGGUAUUGACGCUGAUGUGCGAAAGCGUGGGGAGCAAACAGG